rnacentral:misc_RNA from 1 species
GAUGAAGAACGUAGCGAAAUGCGAUAAGUAGUGUGAAUUGCAGAAUUCAGUGAAUCAUCGAAUCUUUGAACGCACAUUGCGCCCGCCAGUAUUCUGGCGGGCAUGCCUGUUCGAGCGUCAUUUCAACCAUCAAGCCCCCGGGCUUGUGUUGGGGACCUGCGGCUGCCGCAGGCCCUGAAAAGCAGUGGCGGGCUCGCUGUCACACCGAGCGUAGUAGAUUUUAUCUCGCUCUGGGCGUGCUGCGGGUUCCGGCCGUUAAACCACCCUUUUAACCCAAGGUUGACCUCGGAUCAGGUAGGAAGACCCGCUGAACUUAAGCAUAUCAAUAAGCGGAGGA